rnacentral:rRNA from 1 species
AACGAACGCUGGCGGCAUGCCUAACACAUGCAAGUCGAACGAGACCUUCGGGUCUAGUUGCGCACGGGGGCGUAACGCGUGGGAACCUGCCCGUAGGUUCGGAAUAACUCCCCGAAAGGGGUGCUAAUACCGGAGAAUGUCUUCGGACCAAAGAUUUAUCGCCUUUGGAUGGGCGCGUGUUGGAUUAGCUAGUUGGUAGGGUAAAAGCCUACCAAGGGGACGAUCCAUAGCUGGUCGGAGAGGAUGGUCAGCCACACUGGGACUGCGACACGGCCCAGACUCCUACGGGAGGCAGCAGUGGGGAAUAUUGGACAAGGGGCGAAAGCCUGACAAAGCAAUGCCGCGUGAGUGAUGAAGGCCUUAGGGUUGUAAAGCUCUUUUACACGGGAUGAUAAUGACAGUAACGGGAGAAUAAGCACCGGCUAACUACGUG